UCUUCUGACUAUGCCUGCAGACUAGAUUUGACGGCUUUGGACUCCACACAAGAGCGGCUAUCCCUCUGAUGGCCAUGGAGGCGGAUUCUUUACCAACUGAGCUAUCAGAGAAGCCCUGAUAUGUGUUGUAUGAAGUUUCACUUGCUCAAAGGGUGUUCCAUGCAGUGGCCUCAAACAGGCACUUCAGACCAGAGGUCCUCCUGAAAAAUGGCUGUGCCUGACGCAGCUCAGGCAGACAGCAGAGCCACUGCGAACGACAGCUUAAUCCAAGAUGGCGGCAGCUGCCCAUGCGCAGAGAGGCUGCAACUACACAGAUCUGAGUGAAUGCCAGGAGCGGCACAGCCGCACCCCUCUCCGAGAACUCUCCCGAGAACAUCCCUGCAAGAAGAUCUCUGUAAAGCAGCCACACCUACUAGAGCGAGCGCUCCUGCCUCUCUACGCCUAAUCAAAGAUUCCUGGGAACCGAGGGCAGCUAUGAACAAAACUAUAAAUCCAGAACACUAUCACUCACCCAGCAUGCUGUGACACUGGAGACUGUGGGAGUUAGAGAUAGCAUCUACCAAGAGAAAGGAGUUUGAGAUCAAGGAUGGAGGUGCAGGGGGUUCCCAGUUUUUUCUUGGAAUUCAUGAGGAUGAGAUGGACUGUGUGAUCUAGGCGUGUGGGCUGUAUCUUAUGAGGCUGGGAGUUUUAUGUUCUCCUCAUAUAUUUUCUUUUUGUAAUCCCCAAGACUUUAAUAAAAUCUGGUUCAAACAAACUAGCCUCUUUUCUGCUUAAGCAAAAAAGAUCUCUGUGGCCAUUCUCGGGGACAGACAUGCUCCAUGACUAGAACAGAACAGAAAGAUAAACUGCAAGAAGAUGAAUCUCCUGGAAGUGGAGGCAGGCGCUCUUGACUCAGCUUUUCCUUUCUAAGUUGGAAGAAUAUCCCCCUAAGUGAGGAUCUGGAAGCUUCAGUGCUUUAUUUUUGCUCUGGUUGCUCUGAUUUGCCAUCAGUUGUGAGGCAGCUUGGAGGAACAGGAAGAACAGAAAGCCAAGAGCCUCUGAACAGCAUACCUGUGACUGUGAUCUGAAGUUGCUAACUGCAGCCACUAGUUGACCAGCAAUGCUUAGCCUCCAGUUCUAUCCACUCUCAAAAUGACACCCAAGCUGUUCAACCUCCUUUUCAAACCCCACUCCUGCAUGACAAGGUGGAAGAAUCUGUAUCUCAAUGUCAUUCUCAGAGAUGAUUUUUUUCAACCCCAGAACCAGUUGUUCUCUAAAUAGCUACCUCCUAAUUAGCUCUCUCAUUCACCCCAAACUCCACUCCUCAUCCCAUUGCCUGACUUGCUCCAUGAUCCUAUCCAGAUUGGGCUUCCCAGGUGACGCUAGUGGUAAAGAAUCCACCUGCCAAUGCAGGAGACACAGGAGACGCAGAUUUGAUCCCUGGGUCAGGAAGAUUCCCUGGAAGAGGA